rnacentral:rRNA from 1 species
UACAGAGGGUGCGAGCGUUAAUCGGAAUUACUGGGCGUAAAGCGCACUAGGUGGCGACGUAAGUCGGGUGUGAAAGCCCCGGGCUCAACCUGGGAAUUGCAUUCGAGACUGCAUUGCUGGAGUACGGAAGAGGAAGGCGGAAUUCCCGGUGUAGCGGUGAAAUGCGUAGAUAUCGGGAGGAACAUCAGUGGCGAAGGCGGCCUUCUGGUCCAGUACUGACACUCAAGUGCGAAAGCGUGGGGAGCAAACAGG